rnacentral:lncRNA from 1 species
GUAAAGUGCCAUGGUCACCUCUUAAUGACUUAACUGUGUGCCACUGUGUGGCGAGAGGGCUGGGAGGUGUUGGAGACAGUGCAGGUCAGUUCCCUAACUGUGUGUCUUACAUCACUGCAGAGGAGGCCACUGGGGAGGAAGAAUGGAAAUCGGUGCCUAAGAAGCAGCAACUGCUGGACAGCGACGAAGAGGACACCGACGACGAGAGGGGAGGGCAAGGUAGGAAGGACUCCGUCUUCAGUGGAGACCCUGGCAUUUGUCUCAUCCUUUUCCGUACUUAAGCUUCCCAUUUCUGUCUCCUACCUGUCUGUCAUUCCCAUAGCAGCAGUGUCGGGAACCCUGAGAAUCCACAAGAAGAAACGGUUUCUGGUUGAGGAUGAAGAUGAGGAUUACUGAAGCCUUUGACAGAUGCCAGUUGGAAGGCACAGAAGCUAUUUCACCUUGCCUGCAUUCAAAGCAAUCUCCUCUAGGAGUUUUAGGCACCAGUGAGAAGAGCAGGGAGAUGCUAAGGUGGCCGGGACUCCUCUCUGGGCUGUCUUCACACAGGGAGCUUCAUACCACAUGACACGUGUGUUCAUACCAUCCUCACCAGGUACUGGACUCAUUUUCUCUCAGUGGUUGAACCCAGGACACAUGAUUGUGCCCGUUACUGCAGUUGGGUAGAGUUGGGAUACACUACUCUCAAGCUGACAAGCAUCCUUGAUUUGUGUUUCUUAUUAAACGUGUAAAAUUAACAAUUGCUGAUCUCAAAGGGACCAACCAGUCUUCUGUUGUGUCUCUGGAACAGAAGAAGGUUAAGUGCUCGCUUCGGCAGCACAUAUACUAAAAUUGGACCAAUACAGAGAAGAUGAGCAUGGCCCCUGCACAAGGACGACACACAAAUUCAUGACACGUUCCAUAUUUAAAA